AUGGAUAAUGACUGGAGUUCAUCGGAGUCGAAUGAUUCUGAUAUAGAGGAUAUGCUUUUCGACGAAAAUGUUGAGCACCUCGUGUUGUUGCAUGUCGUCCAAGAAUUUGAGGCCGGCAAGAAGAGAAAGCGUCGAGGAUCGACAUUUGGCCGUCUUUGCAUUCCAGGCAACCGAGCUCUCAGCCAUUCCAUGCUCAUGAAAGAUUACUUCGCCGAGGUACCGCCCUAUCCGGUUCACCUCUUUUUUAGGAUACAUCGAAUGCUUAGAUCUCUUUUUCUUCGCAUUGUGGAAGCUUGUAAGCAAAACUCUUGUUUUUUCACUCACCGGAGGAAUGCCGCCGAUUUGCUUGGGUUUAGUUCAUACCAAGGAUAUCAUUGGCAAUGA
rnacentral:rRNA from 1 species